UACGUAGGCAGCGAGCGUUGUUCGGAGUUACUGGGCGUAAAGGGUGUGUAGGCGGUUGUUUAAGUUUGGUGUGAAAUCUCCCGGCUCAACUGGGAGGGUGCGCCGAAUACUGAAUGACUUGGAGUGCGGGAGAGGAAAGUGGAAUUCCUGGUGUAGCGGUGAAAUGCGUAGAUAUCAGGAGGAACACCUGUGGCGAAAGCGGCUCACUGGACCAUAACUGACGCUGAUGCACGAAAGCUAGGGGAGCAAACAGG
rnacentral:rRNA from 1 species